ensembl:lncRNA
AGUGUCACAGGUCGGAGCUGACCACAGAUGUUGUGAGUCACGCCCCUUCCUAAUUUCCACCUCGAGGAGGUCCCAAGAAUACCCCAAUGACCAGACACACGAGAGCCGGUAAGUAAAUUUUAAAACAGACUUUAUUAAAUUACUAAAAAAAAAGGGUAUGGGGAAGGGAGGCUAAAAUCCAACCCUCCUUUUGGAGAGUAACAAUCUCGAGUCUCUUAGACUCCGUCACGGGAGAUCUCAGGUGAGUCCUUCACUCCUCUUUCCUUCUGGCUAUGUGACGACAAUCAGCUUAUUCACAAGUGCCCCUUUGUUCUGACUUGCAGGACGACUGUCCAGGGCCCUCUCCUUUCCUGGACGUAACAGAUACAAGUGGUAAGUAUUGAGAGUUUGGAUGCACAAUGGAUACCUGCUGCUACCUUUGACGAACUCCGAGGCGGCCCAGCGGGUUGUACUCCCGGUCGUCCAGCUGCUGGGGGAACUGCACAAGGGCUACCGGGUUCCAACUAAAACCGUACUGGUAAGUGUACGGGAGGGGGUUUCCGCGGUCUCUGUAUCCUGAGUGACGAGUCGACAUGCAGGUAGACGCUUCAAAGGGACCCGCUAGAUCUGCACAAAAGCAUAAGUGUAAGUGUAACAGGACUGGACACGGAUAGUGGACAGAGGGGCCGCUGGCUCUUCACUCGGAGGCACAAGUAAGUCCGUAGGAAAGACAACUGGGGUUUCACUUGAGCAUGCAGGCGAGUGUACAACACAAUAUGCUGGCUUUAGCUUUGGGCAUAAGGUAAGUACAUCCAAUAUAACUGGGACUUCACUUGGGCAUACAGGAGCGUACAACACAAUAUGCUGGCUUUAGCUUUGGGCAUAAAGGUAAGUACAUCCAAUAUAACUGGGACUUCACUCUGGGCAGACAGGCGAGUGUACAACACAAUAUGCUGGCUUUAGCUUUGGGCAUAAGGUAAGUACAUCCAAUAUAACUGGGACUUCACUUGGGCAUACAGGAGCGUAAAACACAAUAUGCUGGCUUUAGCUUUGGGCAUAAGGUAAGUACAUCAAAGGUAACUGGGACUUCACUCUGGGCAGACAGGUGAGUGUACAACACAAUAUGCUGGCUUUAGCUUUGGGCAUACGUUUACGGUGAAUAUACAGGGAAACAGGAAGUGAUGUAACUCACAGACCUUCGAGGGAAUAGACGUCAGACGUUCCUUUUCUGAGGCUUCUACCAACCGACAAGUCAAGAGAUCUAGACAGGGGCGAACCUUUGAAGAACUCCACAGCAGGUAAUAAUACACGCACAGCUGAUUUCCUCCUACAGCAGCCAACUCCUCACCAUUAAUACUUCCCAGUAGAUCCACACUGUUCUUACUUGAAAUUGUUUCCCACCACCGUCACGUGGGGAAGAAGGGUCAGGAUGUCAUCGACGGCAUAUAAUUGGAGAUGUUUUCUUCGAGCCUCGGUAUUCACUUCCUUCACAGGAUUUCGUCGGGCCUGAAAGGUGGUUGUUGACGACACAACACAGCACAACACUGCAAUUUUCAAGUGUAUACACUCACAGCAAAGGACAAAGACUCACCCACUGCACUCCACACACUCUGGUGAAUUUAGGGUCAACACCCCGUCUGACCAAAGACUCUUCCUGGAAGUCGUGAAGACACUGAUGCCACGAAUAUUCAGAUUUAAACGUUGCCGCCACAACAGCCCAACAUCCUCUCUCGCUCACUGGUCCCGGCUCACCCACAAUCCUCCUCCACAGUGGGGCCGCUCACAUACUAUGCCACAAACUCACAAAACGCUCACAGAUGGUUCACUCUAGAUGAUUAUACUGCUGUACGAUGGUUUAGGGUACUCACACCGUUACUACACGAGGUCUCUUUUCCCUCUUCUUUCCAGCUCCUGGGUACUUCUCCUGCUGCCACGUGCCCUGUCGAAAAGGCCUCCUUCGGCGAUACUUCCGGUGAGUCUUCCUGUUUUCAACCACUCAGAAUUUGUUACACAUGUCCAUGGAGCAUUUCACAGUUAAGUAGACAUUCCAAUAUACUCAGCCCGGUGUCUGUUUCUGCCAAACCCUUGUCUCCGUCUUUGCCCAGCCAACAAUAUCCUCUGCCUUCUUUCCACGGUACUCGCCCAAACACUCCAACUCUCUCGCCGUAUCGGCUGAAAUAAAACAAAGAACUUUUUCCCCCCCUCUGCAGUUUCUGAGGCCCUCUUUAUACUCCUCCUUCUCUUCAUACUGCCCAAUCCACGAUCGCCCCGUUCAUCUAUCCACCUGCGAUCAAUAAAACCCUGAUUUCCCUUCCCGGAGUUCCCGGUGUUUGAGAAUUAUGGUCCGGGUGGAACCAAUCUCCGUCAUUUUUUAGUUCCGCCCUUACGAAGUCACUCCGUGACACU